GCUGUGAAGAGGUAGAAAGAGAGACCUUAAGAGCGCUAGGAAUGGGAACAUGUAGAAAAGCCAAACUUAUUCGUUUUCACCCGCGCCGAAGGUGCAAACAUUAUGUUUGGUAUUUUUCUGAUGCCUCCCAUUCCUAUGGUUCUUGAGCACUCCUUCCUCUUCAUUUUGGCA
rnacentral:pre_miRNA from 1 species